rnacentral:rRNA from 1 species
CAGUAGCCGCGGGAAUACGGAGGUGCAAGCGUUAAUCGGAAUUACUGGGCGUAAAGCGUGCGUAGGCGGUUUGUUAAGUCUGUUGUGAAAUCCCCGGGCUCAACCUGGGAAUGGCAAUGGAUACUGGCAAGCUAGAGUGUGUCAGAGGAUGGUGGAAUUCCCGGUGUAGCGGUGAAAUGCGUAGAGAUCGGGAGGAACAUCAGUGGCGAAGGCGGCCAUCUGGGACAACACUGACGCUGAGGCACGAAAGCGUGGGGAGCAAACAGGAUUAGAUACCCGCGUAGUCCCUGUCUCUUAUACA